GUCUCCAUGGCGCAAUCGGUUAGCGCGUUCGGCUGUUAACCGAAAGGUUGAUGGUUCAAGUCCAUCUGGAGACG
rnacentral:tRNA from 1 species